UUCCACUAAAACCCAUCUAGCGAUCACACCUCAACCCCAGGCGCAUGGACGUGCUCGCCUCCUUCCUCUGCACGUUCAAUCUGGAGCAGUGGAGCAGGAACAUAGCAGAAAUGGCCAUGGCUCCCCACCUCUUCCUCUCCUCCUCCCACUCAAUUCAUUCCCCAUUACGACUUGCCACCAAUACAAAAAUUAUUGAGGAAUGUCAAGAGAACUCAUUCAGGGAAUUAAAACUCAAUUUCGUUGCUUUAAUUGGACGCACGGAGCCGUGAAACAUACACGCACAAACUGCCAUUAUUGGCCACGAUGAGCUCUCUUGAUCUCCAUCUCCCGGCCUCCCCUUCCUCUAUAAAAGGAACCCUGAGGAGCGCCUCAAGCCUCCCACCUCCUCUCCAGAAACCCCUCUCCAUCUCCCUCCCCAUGGUUGUCAAUUUGUAGCCGGAGUCCGAACUCCGCCGCAGCUUCCGACGAAGUUUCAGUCACGUAUGCCGGAGCUCACGAACGGCGACCAGUACAUCCAACCGGAAACUCCGGCGAACUCCAGCGGGUUCACACGGCUUCCCGGGGACGAAUUGGUCGUCAACGACGACAUCACCUUCAUCACCGCGUGGUGUACUUCACCGUCCGCCUCUCCUACUCGCCGGAGCACGCCCCGACCGGACCUCCUUCCCCCGAUAUAUCGUAACGAGAAGGAGAGACGACUCAAUAUAAUAUUUCAUCUUCAUCAACAGUACAAGGCAAGUUACAUCUUGAUCAUGCCCUUUUAUACUUUUAUAUAUGCAUUUAGUCCUUUGAUGGAAGGUUUGCAUGAAUAUGUUAGUUGGCUAUAUUAUAAACCCAGUAGUGCAAUGAGGUAGGUCUGAGCCUUUACUUCUUUGUCGCCAAUGUUGUAGGGAUUUUGCUAUGCCAUUGUAGACGGGGAUUGGUAUGUGAGAUCAUGAAAGUUGCGAGUGAUAUAAUAAUUAAGGGUAACCUUAAGGUGGCAACAUUAACACACAUCUGGGUGGAUUGGUAAGGGGCACACUGGAGAAACCAGUGGACUUGCCCGGGCACCCUGGAGAAACCAGUGGACUUGCCUAGGGGAUCCCGGAGUACCCGUGUGAUCACCCUAUGGACUGCCACCCAGGCUCAAAGGGAUUCAUCAAUUUUUCAUGACUAGACGCUUACCUGCACAGCCACAAGCUAUUAUGGGCUCUGGCUUAGUUGAGUACGUUGUGUGACCUCUUACAGUGGUAGACUAGCAGAUGUAGUUAUAUAUGUAGGUGUACCGGUCCUACCCAGGGUUAAGAGGGAACACUUCAGAAAGACUAUGUCUCGAUCUUCCGGCUCUCAAACACCAGGCAGUGCGAGGACUACAAAGGAGGUGAUC